GGGUAUAGCUCAGUGGCAGAGCGCAUGCUUAGCAUGCACAAGGUCCUGGGUUCAAUCCCCAGUACCUCCA
rnacentral:tRNA from 1 species